AAGAGUGAACCACCUGAUCCCUUCCCGAACUCAGAAGUGAAACCUCUUAGCGCUGAUGGUAGUGUGGGGUUACCCAUGUGAGAGUAAGUCAUCGCCAGCU
rnacentral:rRNA from 4 species